GGAGGGUACAGCUCAGUGGUGGAGCACGUGCUUAGCAUGCACGAGGUCCGGGGUUCAAUCCCCAGUCCCUCCG
rnacentral:tRNA from 1 species